UACGUAGGCAGCAAGCGUUGUUCGGAGUUACUGGGCGUAAAGGGUGUGUAGGCGGUUGUUUAAGUUUGGUGUGAAAUCUCCCGGCUCAACUGGGAGGGUGCGCCGAAUACUGAAUGACUAGAGUGCUGGAGAGGAAAGUGGAAUUCCUGGUGUAGCGGUGAAAUGCGUAGAUAUCAGGAGGAACACCGGUGGUGUAGACGGCUUUCUGGACCGUAACUGACGCUGAAACACGAAAGCGUGGGUAGCAAACAGG
rnacentral:rRNA from 1 species